AUUCACUGGGAGAGGAUCAUGGCCGGAGUGGAUGAAGCCGACUGUGGCCGAGAGGAGACGAGGGGCACCUGAGAGAGAAGUGCGCGGCACGCGUGUGAGGAAGAAGCUUGUAUGCGGUGGCCACCAGGAAUAUCAAGCGAGAGGGCGGCGUAGGAUAGGAAUGGCUGGAAAAAAAUCUGCGAAGCUAGGCAGCAGAAAAAUCAAACGACGAAGGCGGCAGAUUUUUCUUCCAAGUACUGAGCGGCGAUUGCAGAUAACGAAGGGAAUUUUUUUUUUACCGAAUGAACAGCUAUUGGAUGAGAGAGAUGAACAGAUAGAGCCUCCAGGUGCAGAGCGGUGCGAGGAUAAGGAGAGAAAAUGUGCGUGCUAGAUGAAGAUGUAUAGGAUUUUUUUUACCAAGGCACACGCAUAAAUAUGAGAC
rnacentral:misc_RNA from 1 species